rnacentral:rRNA from 1 species
UACGUAGGGUGCAAGCGUUUGUCCGGAAUUAUUGGGCGUAAAGAGCUCGUAGGCGGUUUGUCGCGUCUGCCGUGAAAGUCCGGGGCUCAACUCCGGAUCUGCGGUGGGUACGGGCAGACUAGAGUGAUGUAGGGGAGACUGGAAUUCCUGGUGUAGCGGUGAAAUGCGCAGAUAUCAGGAGGAACACCGAUGGCGAAGGCAGGUCUCUGGGCCGAUAUUGACGCUGAGGAGCGAAAGCGUGGGGAGCAAACAGG